AAUUAAGACUUGUGUAUAUAAAUUAAAUGCAAUGCAAUGUUGAUGAGUUAUUGAAUUAUUUUUGAAAAUAUUUGAGCUGUGAACUUUGAAUUAAAAUUUGGGUGAAUUGAGUUAAUUUGAGAUUUAUUUGGAGGUUGGGAGUUGAGAAAGAAAUUAUUAAAAGUAUUUUUACAAGUUUUGAAGUUUUUGAUUUUUUCAAUUGUA
rnacentral:misc_RNA from 1 species